GACGAACGCUGGCGGCGUGCUUAACACAUGCAAGUCGAACGGUGAAGCGAGUGCUUGCACUCGUGGAUCAGUGGCGAACGGGUGAGUAACACGUGAGUAACCUGCCCAUCACUCUGGGAUAAGCACUGGAAACGGUGUCUAAUACUGGAUACGACCAACCCUUGCAUGGGGUGUUGGUGGAAAGAUUUAUCGGUGAUGGAUGGACUCGCGGCCUAUCAGCUUGUUGGCGGGGUAAUGGCCCACCAAGGCGACGACGGGUAGCCGGCCUGAGAGGGUGACCGGCCACACUGGGACUGAGACACGGCCCAGACUCCUACGGGAGGCAGCAGUGGGGAAUAUUGCACAAUGGGCGAAAGCCUGAUGCAGCGACGCCGCGUGAGGGAUGACGGCCUUCGGGUUGUAAACCUCUUUCAGCAGGGAAGAAGCGAAAGUGACGGUACCUGAAGAAGAAGCACCGGCUAACUACGUG
rnacentral:rRNA from 1 species